CUGGCUCAGGAUUAACGCUGGCGGCGUGCCUAACACAUGCAAGUCGAACGAAAUAUCUUCGGAUAUUUAGUGGCGAACGGGUGAGUAAUGUACAGGUAAUGUACCUUCGUACUGCGAAUAACAAGCUGAAAAGUUUGCUAAUACGGAAUAGUUUCCUUCGAGGGCAUCCUUAAAGGAAUAAAGAUUUAUCGUGCGGAGAUCAGCCUGUAUCCUAUUAGUUAGUUGGUGGGGUAAUGGCCUACCAAGACGACGAUGGGUAACUGGUCUGAGAGGAUGAGCAGUCACAUUGGAACUGAGAAACGGUCCAAACUCCUACGGGAGGCAGCAGUGAGGAAUUUUGCGCAAUGGGGGAAACCCUGACGCAGCCAACGCCGCGUGAGUGAUGACGGCCUUCGGGUUGUAAAGCUCUGUCGUGUGUGACGAGUAGGGACGGUAACACACAAGGAAGCCUCGGCUAACUACGUGCCAGCCGCUGC
rnacentral:rRNA from 1 species